CCCUUAGACGUUCUGGGCCGCACGCGCGCUACACUGACCAGUGCAACAAGCAUCCGUCCUUGGCCGACAGGCUCGGGCAAUCUUUGAACGCUGGUCGUGAUGGGGAUAGACUUUUGCAAUUUUUGGUCUUCAACGAGGAAUUCCUAGUAAACGCAAGUCAUCAACUUGCAUUGAUUACGUCCCUGCCCUUUGUACACACCGCCCGUCGCACCUACCGAUUGAAUGGUCCGGUGAAUAAUUCGGACUGCGGCAUUGACCGGUUCCCGAUCGUUGCUGCGGAAAGUUUAGUGAACCUUAUCACUUAGAGGAAGGAGAAGUCGUAACA
rnacentral:rRNA from 1 species